rnacentral:rRNA from 1 species
AAUGAACGUUGGCGGCGUGGAUUAGGCAUGCAAGUCGAGCGCGAACCCCGCAAGGGGUGAAAGCGGCGAAAGGGAGAGUAACGCGUGGGUAUUUACCCUCGGGACUGGGAUAGCUGCGGGAAACUGCAGGUAAUACCAGAUGACGUCCCCGGACCAAAGGUGUGAUUCCGCCUGAGGAUAAGCCCGCGUCCUAUUAGCUAGUUGGUGAGGUAAUGGCUCACCAAGGCAAUGAUGGGUACUGGGUGUGAGAGCACGACCCAGCUCACUGGGACUGAGACACUGCCCAGACACCUACGGGUGGCUGCAGUCGAGAAUCUUCGGCAAUGGGCGCAAGCCUGACCGAGCGACGCCGCGUGUGGGAUGAAGGCCUUCGGGUUGUAAACCGCUGUCAGAGGGGAGGAAUGGGCGGAGGGUAAUCUCUUCGUUUUGACCUAUCCUCAGAGGAAGUACGGGCUAAGUUCGUGCCAGCAGCAGCCGCAG